rnacentral:lncRNA from 1 species
CACAGAGCAAAGAUUUCUGCAUGUGGACGUAGGCAGAGCUCGCACUUACGCAUUUAUAAUCCAAAGAAGGCCAAGGGUAACUGGUAACUCUCAGAAGCAGAAAAAGAAGCUUGGGACGGACUCCCCUUCAGAGCUCUGUAGGGACCAAUUUUGCUGAUGCUGUCUCUUCCAGAUCCUUCAAGAUUGGAAAAAGAAGGUGAUGAGCAUUUUUAAACUCAGUUCACUGAGCACUGAGCAAUUGCUUAAGGGAAGGUCAAAGAACAGAAAAAAAUAUUUGAAGAAAAGAAGAAAAGAUCUAACCUUCAUUAUACAGGAUUGCACAGAUUGCCUUUUGUGAUAAAAAGAGGAAGAAAAAUGGCAGCAACCCAGAUUAUUAUUAUACUUAAAUGGUCUCUCACACUUUAUGAAGAUCUUUGUGUAAAAGUAUUAAGCAGUCCAUUUAACAGAGAAGUAUGUUUGUUUCACAUGUAUCAGAAAAUGUGAGUCUUAAUUAAAAUAGAUCCUGACGUCAAAUGCUAUUGAUGAGCAGUUAUUAUUCUAUAUGCUAUAUUUUAUAUCAGUGUAAUGUGUAUGAAGUUUUAAAAGACCUUCUAGGUUUCUGCCAGAUAGUGAUACAGUGAUAAAAUAUCAGCAGUUCAAAAAAAAAAGAAUGAAAGGUUUAUAUGAAUGAUGACACUGAAAAAAAAAAACAGACCCUCAGAACUAAGGUAUCUCUUGAUAAAUAAAGCUGUUAGAUGUUAUGUGGCAAUAUCAGAUGUCAGGAGACAGAAAGAAAGUAUUAGUUGCUUCCAAGGGAUCUGAUAUAAUGAAUAUAGUAAUUAGGUAGAUUGAUCACGGUCCCUCGGUUAUAGAAUCAAGUUGAUAAGACUCUACUAGUGAGUGGAAGUUGGUGGGGUCAAGAUUUGUUAAGAAAAUCUUAUGUAUUGUUUAGCAAACUAUAUGUAGAAGAAACUACUAGAGACAUAGAGAAUUACACAAUGUUUAUAGGUAGACAUAAAACUGAAUAAAACUUCAUGUAAUGGUUGUUAUAUAUGCUACUUAGUUUUUCACCAACUUAUUUCUUUUAAUAUUUCAUAAAAAUUAUGUUUUUAAAAUUAAUUUAUAUUCAUAUACAUAGUUCUAGUUUAGUCACAAUGUUUCAGAGUGCAUACAUAUGAAGUAAAAUAUAAAGAAUGUAAAGGGGUGAUAAAUAUAAAUUCAGAAAUGUAAAUAUCUCUAUGUGGAAGAAGAAUACAAUCAGUAAAAUAUGUAGGAAUGAUUCAACUCUGUUUUAAGCUUUAUUUGUUAAUAGUGGAGACAGAAUUUUUUGUAUUCUUUAUUCAUUUUAUAUUCUUGAAAUAGUUCAAAAUAAAUUUAAGUUUUCUCCAAAA